UCCGGUUUGGCACCGGCAUUCCCCCUAGAGUCCCCGGCAUUAUCCGCUGGUAACUAAGGGCAAGGGUUGCGCUCGUUGCGGGACUUAACCCAACAUCUCACGACACGAGCUGACGGCAGCCAUGCAGCACCUGUGCACGAUCUCCGAAGAGGGGCUCUCGUUUCUGAGAGCUUGCUCGUACAUGUCAAGCCUAGGUAAGGUUCUUCGCGUUGCGUCGAAUUAAACCACAUGCUCCACCGCUUGUGCGGGCCCCCGUCAAUUCCUUUGAGUUUCAGCCUUGCGGCCGUACUCCCCAGGCGGAUGACUUCACGCGUUAGCUGCGUUACUAAAGGAUUUAACUCCUCCAACAACUAGUCAUCAUCGUUUAGGGCGUGGACUAC
rnacentral:misc_RNA from 1 species